UACGUAGGUGGCGAGCGUUAUCCGGAAUUAUUGGGUGUAAAGGGAGCGCAGGCGGAAUGGCAAGUUGAAUGUGAAAUCCAGGGGCUCAACCCCUGAACUGCGUUCAAAACUGCUGUUCUUGAGUGAUGUAGAGGUAGGCGGAAUUCCCGGUGUAGCGGUGGAAUGCGUAGAUAUCGGGAGGAGCACCAGUGGCGAAGGCGGCCUACUGGGCAUCAACUGACGCUGAGGCUCGAAAGUAUGGGGAGCAAACAGG
rnacentral:rRNA from 1 species